GUGGGGAAUUUUGGACAAUGGGCACAAGCCUGAUCCAGCAAUGCCGCGUGCAGGAAGAAGGCCUUCGGGUUGUAAACUGCUUUUGUACGGAACGAAACGGUCCUGGUUAAUACCCGGGGCUAAUGACGGUACCGUAAGAAUAAGCACCGGCUAACUACGUGCCAGCAGCCGCGGUAAUACGUAGGGUGCAAGCGUUAAUCGGAAUUACUGGGCGUAAAGCGUGCGCAGGCGGUGCUGUAAGACAGGCGUGAAAUCCCCGGGCUUAACCUGGGAAUUGCGCUUGUGACUGCAGUGCUGGAGUGCGGCAGAGGGGGAUGGAAUUCCGCGUGUAGCAGUGAAAUGCGUAGAUAUGCGGAGGAACACCGAUGGCGAAGGCAAUCCCCUGGGCCUGCACUGACGCUCAUGCACGAAAGCGUGGGGAGCAAACAGGAUUAGAAACCCGAGUAGUCC
rnacentral:rRNA from 1 species